rnacentral:rRNA from 1 species
UACGUAGGGUGCAAGCGUUAAUCGGAAUUACUGGGCGUAAAGCGUGCGCAGGCGGUUAUGUAAGACAGAUGUGAAAUCCCCGGGCUCAACCUGGGAACUGCAUUUGUGACUGUAUAGCUAGAGUACGGUAGAGGGGGAUGGAAUUCCGCGUGUAGCAGUGAAAUGCGUAGAUAUGCGGAGGAACACCGAUGGCGAAGGCAAUCCCCUGGACCUGUACUGACGCUCAUGCACGAAAGCGUGGGGAGCAAACAGG